rnacentral:rRNA from 1 species
CGCCCGCCGCGCGCGGCGGGCGGGGCGGGGGCACGGGGGGCCUACGGGAGGCAGCAGUGGGGAAUUUUGGACAAUGGGCGCAAGCCUGAUCCAGCCAUUCCGCGUGAGUGAAGAAGGCCUUCGGGUUGUAAAGCUCUUUCGCGAGGGAAGAAAACUUAACUACUAACAUUAGUUGAGGCUGACGGUACCUUGAUAAGAAGCACCGGCUAACUACGUGCCAGCAGCCGCGGUAAUA